rnacentral:lncRNA from 1 species
ACGUCAACUUCUGGAGAUCUCAGUGGGGAAAUGAUGUAAGGCUCUCUCAUGGUUCUGAACACUCUGCUGGAGUAAUCACUCUUCCUGUUUCCGGUCACAACUUGCAGACUUGUUUACGCUGCUGUGCGUUUUUUUGCCGAUCUUACUUUGCUACCUGACGGUUUUUACUUUUUCAUUACCGUAUAUUUUUACUUUUUCCCUCACUCAACUUUUUUCAUUCAACUUUUUGACCCCGGAGGUUUUAUCUGGACAUGGUUCGUCAGGACUUCAAACAGCCGAAGCUAAGUAACAUUAACAUGAUGCCUUCUAAUUGCAGUCGUUGUACUUAUAAUAUACAGGAGAACGAUCGCCUUACGGCAAGGAUAGCUGUGCUGCAAGCCCAGCUUCAGACGCAAUCGUUAGGCAAGGGCAAUUUCAGUGUUGGAAAGGAUGAAACAGCGUCUGUGCCACCAGACCUGAGCCCUAGGACCAUGCCUCAGGACUACCUGGUAUGAUGACUCCUUGCUGUCCCCAGUCCACCUGGCCGUGCUGCUGCUCCAGUUUCAACUGUUCUGCCUGCGGCUAUGGAACCCUGACCUGUUCACCGGACAUGCUUGUUGCACCCUCGACAACUACUAUGAUUAUUAUUAUUUGACCAUGCUGGUCAUUUAUGAACAUUUUAACAUCUUGACCAUGUUCUGUUAUAAUAUCCACCCUGCACAGCCAGAAGAGGACUGGCCACCCCUCAUAGCCUGGUUCCUCUCUAGGUUUCUUCCUAGGUUUUUGGCCUUUCUAGGGAGUUUUUCCUAGGGAGUUUUUCCUAGCCACCGUGCUUCUUUCACAUGCAUUGCUUGCUAUUUGGGGUUUUAGGCUGGGUUUCUGUACAGCACUUUGAGAUAUCAACUGAUGUACGAAGGGCUAUAUAAAUAAAUUUGAUUUGAUCUAAAGAAUAAUUUUAAUGGAGGUAUUUUCCACUCCGACUGUGACCCUUUUGGUCACUUUCUUUGUCUUGUUAUCAUCUGUAACAUCAUUAUUAUUAUUACCAACAUUUAUGGGUACAAUUCCAAACUUGAAAAUGAUCAGUUCC